ACAAACUUGGUCAUUUAGAGGAAGUACAAGUCGUAACAAGGUUUCCGUAGGUGAACCUGCGGAAGGAUCAUUAACAAAUCUGAGGGUUGUGUUGAUUUGCUGAUCGAUAACGUAUUGACAUCAAAUCAACACACCUAACACAUUUGUGCUCCAGAAUCUUCUGGUUGCAUCAUAUCAUAUUCAUGAUAGUAUUUGUAUUAUUGUCAUUUUUUUUUAUUUUCAAUAUAUAAUACACUUUUAACAAUGGAUCUCUUGGCUCUUGCAUCGAUGAAGAACGCAGC
rnacentral:misc_RNA from 1 species